rnacentral:rRNA from 1 species
UACGAAGGGGGCUAGCGUUGCUCGGAAUUACUGGGCGUAAAGCGCACGUAGGCGGCUUCUUAAGUCGGUGGUGAAAUCCUGGAGCUCAACUCCAGAACUGCCUUCGAUACUGGGAAGCUCGAGUCCGGGAGAGGUGAGUGGAACUGCGAGUGUAGAGGUGAAAUUCGUAGAUAUUGGGAAGAACACCGGUGGCGAAGGCGGCUCACUGGCUCGUAACUGACGCUCAGGCGCGACAGCGUGGGGAUCAAACAGG